UACGGAGGGGGCUAGCGUUAUUCGGAAUUAUUGGGCGUAAAGCGUUCGUAGGCGGCUUUGUAAGUCAGAGGUGAAAGCCCACGACUUAAUCGUGGAACUGCCUUUGAGACUGCUUCGCUUGAAGAUUGGAGAGGUGAGUGGAAUUCCGAGUGUAGAGGUGAAAUUCGUAGAUAUUCGGAAGAACACCAGUGGCGAAGGCGGCUAACUGGACCAUUCUUGACGCUGAGGAACGAAAGCGUGGGGAGCAAACAGG
rnacentral:rRNA from 1 species